rnacentral:rRNA from 1 species
AUGGAACGCUGGCGGCAGGCUUAACACAUGCAAGUCGAACGGGCGAGGUUGCUUCGGUAACUGAGUUAGCGGCGGACGGGUGAGUAAAGCUUAGGAAUCUGCCUAUUAGUGGGGGACAACAUUCCGAAAGGGAUGCUAAUACCGCAUACGUCCUACGGGAGAAAGCAGGGGAUCACUUGUGACCUUGCGCUAAUAGAUGAGCCUAAGUCGGAUUAGCUAGUUGGUGGGGUAAAGGCCUACCAAGGCGACGAUCUGUAGCGGGUCUGAGAGGAUGAUCCGCCACACUGGGACUGAGACACGGCCCAGACUCCUACGGGAGGCAGCAGUGGGGAAUAUUGGACAAUGGGGGGAACCCUGAUCCAGCCAUGCCGCGUGUGUGAAGAAGGCCUUUUGGUUGUAAAGCACUUUAAGCGAGGAGGAGGCUUACCUGGUUAAUACCUGGGAUAAGUGGACGUUACUCGCAGAAUAAGCACCGGCUAACUCUGUGCCAGCCGCCGCCGUAACAC